rnacentral:lncRNA from 1 species
CGCCAUAAAAAAUUCCACCACUACAACAAUAUAUACACCAUGACUCUCACUGAUAUGGGGACAGAAUUACACACCACAUACCAGUGAAAUGAGGAACUCAUUGAAUAUAUAGCAGUUAUACACACAAAAUACUCAUUGAAAUUGAAUAGAAUACAUACAUACUCACCCAUUACAAACUCCUCACAAUAUACACUGUCAUCACAAGAAGGGAGAGGGACGCCAUUAACAGACUACUCUCACAGCUUCACAUGGUAAUUCUACACACACAUAUGAAAUACACUCAUAUACACAUAGAAUUGGAGAUAUGGAUGGAAAGGGAUAAUGAGAGUUGAGGGAUAAACACAAGGCUCGCAUUUUGGUUACUGUUCCGGCGACGAAUUCAUCGUAAACACGUCAAACCAUUCAAAAAUCAUCUUUAACCCAUCAAAAAAUUCUAGAAAUCGGGUUCGUUCGUUCUUAACUACUAUUUCGGUUACACCACCACCGGAAAAUGCUUCUCUCACCGGAGACAGGCUUCACCUAAACCAAAAUUCCUAAAAAUCCGGCCUCGUACCACUGCUGCUACUGUUUAGCGACAGAAGUCCAUCGGAAAACACUGAAAACCGAUCGGAAAUGGAUGAGACAACCAGCCUCGAUACAAAUUCGAGUUUGGGUCUUUUAUUUCUUGGCGAUUUUGGUUCGGAUUGAUAAAAAAAUGAAAAAAAGGGUUAGAUCGAGGCUGGAUUUUUUCGUCCGUUGAGGUUCAGUUCAAGAUUCUGAUCAUGGUCUUAGUUAAAAGGAGAAAUUUUAAUUGAAAGCGACGUUAAGGUCCAUUUUUCAUCCCAUUCUCAUUUAAUUUUAUUGUUUUAUGCGAUGUGUGAUGAAUUCGAAUCAUGUGAAGUUCAUUUCAUAUGAUUUUCUGAUUUUUGGAUCAUAAAUAUUGAUUGUUGAUAUCGAUUGAUCGAAUGUGUGAAUUGAAUAAAUAUAACAACCCUCAUUUUGGGCUAGAAUGUAAACCGUCAUUCCUAUGCGUAAUAGUUCCAAAAGCUAAUAAAUCCUACGCAAAUUUAGUGUGUUAAUAAAUAUGUAGUGUGAAAAUCUAGUUGGGCAUGAAUUGAGUCCCUUAACUCAAAGGCAAGUUGAAAGCCUUCCUAUCAAUUGAGUUUUAGUAAGUGUCUAAACUUGGGUCAACUUCCAUCGACUAGAACUUUUUGUAUAUAUCGAAUUAGGAGCCCUACUAUAUAUCAAUUGAAAUAUAUUCGAGUCCUUUUUCCAACGCCACCGGUAUCGCCUUAAUACGAUAGUGUAGUAGAAAGUUAUGCUCAUUUUACUUUGAAGUAUUUGUCUGCCAAAAUGUGACAAACGAGGCAGACGACCUAUCAACUAUGUGACGACCCAUUAGCCCUAGUCGUCAGCCUAGGGAAGAAAGUGGUAAAAUCCAUCCCAAAAGUGAUGACCUAGGUGACGGCUUAUCACCUAAGUGAAGGCCCAUCAACCUUAGUCGUCAACUGAUGAAGUUUUGCGACUUUUUUAAUUUCCUUAGGGGUAUUUUGGUCAUUUGCUCACUCCAAAAACCUUUUCCGCGAAUUUAAUUACACUCUAAAUGUUAUUAAUCAAUCAUUAUCAGUUAUAUCAGUUAUAUAACAUCAAAAUUCUAUCUUCACUCUCAAAUACAAGACCAAACUAGGGUUUUCUCCAAGAACAAGAAAUCAAGAAAAAUCAAUCCUUAAGUCCAAGAUUUUCAAGGAACAAAUCAAGAUUCGAGUUCUACUCUUUAAACUAAGUAAUCUAAGGUACGUGGGAUUUUCCUAAACUACAUGGCAUGAUGAAAUUGUUUCAAUAACAUUUAAACAUUAAGAAAUCAUGAAUUUACAAAAGGAUAUUGAAAUUUCAACUACAACUUUGCAUUUUGAAUCUUUCUUGAUAAUAAAGUUUUGGUCUUGAGGCCUCCCCCCAUUAAACUCGACAUAUAUAUAUAUAUAUAUGUAUGUAUGUAUGCAUAUGAUUUGACAUUUGAAACUUGAAUUGAGAGCAUGAAUAUUUAUAAUUCCUCUCUUGUUAUAAAUCUCCUUGUGUUCAUAUGUUAUGAAUUAUUCAAUUUCAUACUGAGAAGCAUGUACAAACGUCUUUACUAUCGUUAAAAUUUAGUUUUGAUUAUGAAUUGAAGAAAGAGGGUUUUAUAUAUUGAUAAAUUUUGAAGAUAUAUAAUGAAGGAAUUGCAUGGUUUGUUACAAAAUACUUGACCACCACAUGUUUGUUGAAAUGUUGAAAAGAGAGAAUCUUUUUAUAGUUUGAAACCUGUUUUGAAAUAAUAACUCUCUUGCAUUGUUAAAUAUUUGUGGUGGUAAACUGAAUCGAUUGGAUCGAAGGAACUAAUGUAGAAAAUAUUUAUGGAUUAGACAUAGGACUUGCAAGUCUUGGUAUGAAGAUAUCAAAACAGAUAAUGCCAUGAUAAUAGAACAGAACAUAAUAUGAAAUUUCCUUCAGAUUUUUAGAUUUUGCAGUUUAGAAUGAUGCAUGUUUAGAAAGAAUUUAAAAGGGGCUUAAAGAGAGUUAGGUGGUUACCCGAAGAAAGAAUGAGCCAUAAAACUUAUUUCCCAAAAUCGUGUUUUGCCAAUAUGGGUUAUGAUGUCCCCAAAAAGGGAUUUUAUUCUGGCCUAGUACCCUGUGGUGUAUUAAAAUUAGAAACUCCUACUCUUGCGGCAAACUUGGGUUGAGGGCUUGGCCUCCAUGUCAAGGGUAGAUUUCAUAUAGCCCGUGGGAUUGUAGAAUUGUAGAGUGUACCACCUAGCUUAGAAGCAACACAAAAAAAGGAAUUGCAUCUAAAGAAUUGUUUUAAGAUCAUUGAAAUUUCCAAUGUAUUUUAAAUUAUUUCAUGCAUAACAUUUUAUGAAAUGUUCUCAGUUAUGUUAUAGGUAAAAGUACAUUAUUUUGGAUUGCUCUGCGUACCAGUACAUCUGUAUUGACCCCCUAUAUUUCAGUAUCUGAGGCUCAGUCUAGGGGUUCCUCUAAGCCGUAGAUUUAUCAGACAGAGGUGUACAGUUGGUGAGCCUCCCUUAUUUCGGAAGUCCUAUUUUUAGAACAUUGUUAUUUCAUUUUGAUUUUUGGAUCGGACUGGGGGCCUUGUCCCAGAUCUCAAACAUGUGUUAUUUUUCAGUUAGUAGAGAUUUCGCAGACUGAUGUUGGAUGUUGUUAGAGGGUUAUGUAUUUCAUUUUGAACAUUCAGUUGAAUUAUCCUAUUAACCAUGAUUCUGUAUUAUGAUUUUUUUCCACAUUUCUUAUUAUUGUAUGAAUAUUGUGCAUGAUCGCUAGAUAGACAAGGGCGCUCGAACCUUCAUAGUUCGGGAUGCCCAUCACGGACAGGGCCUUGGCUUAGAUUAUAAAAAACUUGGUAUCAGAGCACGGUUCAUGGUCCUAGGGUGUCUGCAAAAUCACGUUGGGUAGAGUCUUAUUUAUGGGUGUGUAGCGUACUACACUUAUAAAGGGGAGACUACAAGGCGUUUAGGAAAGUUUCUCUUUCUUUCAUGAUUUCGUUCAUGUUACAAAGUCUGAAUGUUCUCUGAUCAAUGAUAUUAUGUAUUUCAAAAGGUUACCAAGCCUCCUUGUAGAACCAACGAACAGAAUGCUCAAGCUGAGGAGGUUCGGCCUACCCAUGGGAUGAGGAGUCGUAACUGAGCUAGCAUCUUAGGGUUUGUUCCUACUUUGGGAGUUCUUCCAGUUCCAACCAGUCCACCUCGGGAUCCAUGGACCAAUGUUAACUGUUCCCAGACUCCUCAAAGGGAGGUUUCGAAUGUUGAGUUCUGAUAGUCCAUCCAUAUGAUUGCACAACUUGUAGCCUCUCAGACUCGUCGGUCUAAAAAUAUGGAUUCUGUGUCGGGUUCGUCAGAAAUUACCUGAGUUGGUCAAUUCAUGAGACUGAACCCACCUAUGUUCACUGGAAUGAAGGUUAAGGAGGACCCCUAAGGGUUCAUUAAUGAGUUGGAGGAGAUUUUCAAAGUUAUGCAUAUGAAUGAGGUUGAAGGGGUUGAGUUAACAGCCUAUCAGUUGAAGGAUGUGGCCAAUUAGUGGUAUAAUAAAUGAGAGUAUUUGAAGGGUAAUGAUACUAAGCCUUCGGUGUGGGGUGAUUUUGUGAAAGCCUUUUUGGAUCGAUUCUUUCCUCAAAAAUUGAAGGAAUUGAAGACAAAAGAAUUUAUGGACUUGAAACAAGGGAAAAUGAGUGUCAAGGAGUACACAUUAAAGUUCAAUCAAUUAUCCUGCUAUGCCCCAAAAUUGGUAGGUAACAUGAGAGCUCGUAUGAUGAAGUUUGCAUCUGAUCUUUCGGAUGAUCUGGUGUUGGAAUGCAAGAAGGCAAUGUUGAAUAGAGAUAUGGAUUUCUCCAGUUUAUCCGUUCAUAUAAAACAAGUUGAAGAGCAAAAGAAGAGGUUGACAGAGGCAAGGGAGAAAGACAGGCAGGCCAAGAGGUCCAGAUCUAUAGACCAGAAUAAUAGUCAGCACCAAGGUGGUAAUAAUUGGGGUAACAAGUGGUCAAAGAAGAAGUUUUGGAGUCAUGCUCAGUUUCCAGCCAACGCCCCAGUGCCCGGCCCCCCAGUUGAUCAGCAGUCCUUUAACCCUCAGUCUAACAGUGGUUGGAAAAUACAGGGUACCCAGUCCCAUGGCAGUGUGGCUCAGUCAUAUCAGCUUUUUUCGCAAUGUGGGAACAACAGUAAACAUCACCCAGGGAGGUGUCAACUGGGUAGGUUGGUGUGUUAUACUUGUGGUCAGUCAGUCCAUUUUCAAAAAGAUUUUCCUUCCGCCAAAGGUAACUUAGGUGGUGCCAGGUCCUUAGCCAAUUCUUCAGUGCCGCCGCCACCUUCCAAGGGUACUACUUCAGCUACCGGGGGCGAUCAUAAUUAGUUGUAUGCUUUUUCUAAUCGCCAGGAGGCAGAGGCUUCACCAGAUGUAGUCACGGGUACAUUAUAAAUUUUCUCCUAUGAUGUGUAUGUGUUACUUGAUCUCGGGUCUACCUUGUCUUAUGUGACCCCAUAUGUGGCAGUCAAUUUUGGUUUGAGCCUGAAGUUAUUCCAGAACCUUUAUCUUUUUCCACCCCUGUUGGUGACUCGAUUACGGCUAAGAGGGAAUAUAAAAAUUAUGAUAUUAUUUUGGGAAUGGAUUGGCUCCACUCAUGCUACGCCACCCUAGACCCUGAAAAGUUACUUUCUCUUUUCCAAAUGAACCAGUGAUAGAGUGGGAGGGGUAUUUUUUAGCACCUAAGAGGAAAUUCAUAUCUUAUCUCAGAGCCCAUAAGCUUAUUUCUAAGGUUUGUUUGUAUCAUCUGAUUUGGGUAAAAGAUUUUAAUACUGAAAGUCCUUCUCUCCAGUCUGUCCCUGUAGUUAAUGAAUUUCUUGAAGUCUUUCCCGAUGAUCUCCCAGGGAUACCACCUGAUAGAGAGAUAGAUUUUGGCAUUGACUUAUUGUCGGACACUCAUCUUAUUUCUAUCCUGUCAUACAGAAUGGCUCAUGCAGAAUUGAAAGAAUUGAAAGAUCCGUUAAAAGAUCUUGUUGACAAGGGCUUUAUCCAUCCUAGUAUUUCUCCGUAGGGUGCACCUAUACUAUUCAUGCGUAAGAAAAUAGGCUCCCUCCGUAUGUAUAUAGACUACCGUCAGCUGAAUAAGUUCACUGUUAAAAAUAAAUACCCUCUUCCCAAAAUUAAUGAUUUGUUUGACCAACUCCAAGGUGCAAAAUAUUUCUCUAAAAUAGACCUUCAUUCGGGUUAUCAUCAGUUGAAGGUUAGGGAGGCUGACAUUCCCAUAACAACUUUUCGAACCCGAUAUGGCCAUUAUGAAUUCUUAGUCAUGUCCUUCAGAUUGACUAACGCCCCUGCAAUUUUCAUGGACCUUAUGAAUAGGGUGUUCCAUCAGUUUUUAGACCUGUUCGUCAUAGUUUUCAUCGACGACAUCUUAGUUUACUCUAAGAAUGAGGAAGAUUAUGCCAGUCACCUCCAAACCGUCCUUCAAACCCUCAAAGAUCAUAAGUUGUAUGCAACAUUUUCCAAGUAUAAAUUCUGGCUUAGUGUUAUUGCUUUUUUUGGUCACAUUAUUUCUAGCGAAGGAAUUAUGGUUGAUCCCUAAAAGGUUGAGGCAGUGAGAAAAUGGCCCAAACCCAUGACUCCAACUGAUAUCUGAAGCUUCUUGGGUUUGGCAGGGUACUACAGAAGGUUCGUAGAAAGUUUUUCCUCCAUUGCUGCUACACUUACCAAGUUGACACAAAAAAAGGUGAAGUUUGUGUAGUUUGACUCACAUGAAAGUAGUUUUGAGAAACUAAAAAAUAAGUUGACUACCACGCCUGCUUUAACUCUUCCCAAAGGUACAGAGGAUUUCGUUAUUUACUAUGAUGUGUCCAGGGUGGGACUUAGGUGUGUACUUAUACAGCAGGGUAAGGUGGUAGCUUAUGCAUCUAGGCAGUUAAAGGUGCACGAGUGAAAUUACCCCACCCAUGACUUAGAGUUGGCAGCAGUGGUGUUCGCACUUAAGAUAUGGCGCCAUUAUUUGUAUGGUGUACAUGUUGAUAUAUUUACUGACCACAAAAGUAUACAGUAUGUUUUCUCGUAGAAAGAACUAAAUCUCAAACAAAGCUGAUGGUUAGAAUUAUUGAAAGACUAUGAUAUGAGCCUACACUAUCAUCCGAGCAAGGCAAACAUAGUGGAUGACGCCUAUAAUAGGUUGUCAAAGGGCAGUCUUUCUCAUGUUGAGAAAGAAAAAAGGAAAAUGGUGAAAGAUAUUCACCGGCUUACAAAUCUAGGAGUUCCACUUCUAAAUUUCGAAGAUGGGGGAGUAAUUGUUCAUGAGAUAGCUAAAUCUUCCCUAUAUUCUGAAGUGAAGGAAAAGCAAGCCGAAGACCCCAUCUUGUUGCAAAUUAAGAAAGAUGUGGGUCAACAUAAGGUGAUGGCUUUUGAAAUUAGAGGUGAUGGAAUUUUAAGAUAUCAGGUUAGGCUAUGUGUACCGAAUGUGGAUGGUUUAAGAGAGAUAAUUCUUGACCAGGCUCACACUUUGAGGUAUGUUGUUCACCCAGGCUCUACAAAAUAUGUCAUGAUCUUAAGACAAUUUAUUGGUGGAAUAAUAUGAAACAUGAUGUUGCUAAAUUUGUUUCUAAGUGUUUGAAUUGUCAACAAGUCAAAGUGGAACAUUUGAGACUAGGUGAUACUUCCCAAGAGAUAGCCUUGCCUAUGUGUAAAUGGGAGAUGAUUAAUACGGAUUUUAUCAUAGGGCUUCCGAGGUCCCGAAAUCAAUUUGUCUAUUUGGGAAAUUGUAGAUCGGAUGACCAAGUCAGCUCACUUUCUACCUGUAAGGACUAAUUAUUUGGGGGGUGAUUAUGCCAAGCUGUACAUUGAGAAAAUAAUUUGCUUUUAUGGGGCACCAGUAUCCAUUCUAUCAGAUCGAGGUACGCAAUUCUCUUCACAGUUUGGUCAGUCUUUUCAGAGGGGUUUAGGUACCCAAGUGAACCUGAGUACUGCCUUCCACCCUCAGGCUGAUGGGCAAGCUGAGCACACCAUUCAGACCCUUGAGGAUAUAUUGAGGGUCUGUCUAAUUGACUUCAAAGGUAGUUGGGUGGAUCCAUUUUCCAUUGAUAGAGUUUGCCUAUAACAAUUGCUACCAUUCCAGUAUUCAGAUGGUUCCUUUUGAAGCACUUUAUGGGAGGAAAUGUAGAUCACCAAUUAGGUCGUAUGAAGUGGGUGAAACCCGAUUGUUUGGGCCUGAUCUUGUUCAUCAGGUAAUGAAGAAGGUGAAGAUCAUUAGAAAGUGACUUAAAACAGCUCAGAUUCAUUAGAAAUCCUAUGUCGAUGUUAGAAGAAGAGAGUUGGAAUUUGAGAUUGGCGAUUGGGUAUUUCUUAAAGUCUCCCCUGUUAAGGGAGUCAUGCAUUUCAUAAGGAAAGAGAAGCUUAGCCCCCGUUACAUAGGACCAUAUCGGAUUGUGAAGAGGAUUGGUGGGGUUGCCUGUGAGUUAGGUUUGCACACAAGCCUAGCUUUUGUUCAUCCAGUAUUCCAUGUGUCCAUGUUGAAGAAAUGUAUUGGAGAUCAUUCCCUAGUGUUGCCUGUAGAGGAGAUCAAUUUGAAAGAAUCCUUGUCAUAUGAAAAGGAACCCAUUUCCAUUUUGGAUCUCCAAGUUCAAAAGUUGAGAAGCAAGGAAAUAGUUUUGGUUAAGGUGAUGUGGAGGAAUCAAAAAGCCGAGGAAGCUGCUUUGGAGUCAGAAGAUGAUAUGCGUGAGAGGUACCCGACUCUUUUUGAAGUCAUGGAUGAUGAUUUAGAAGGUACAAAUCCUAUGCUACUCUUUUUCUUCCAUUUAGUUCCUGAAAUGGUGUUUGUUGUGUCCUAAGUCACCAUUCGGGGAUGAAUGAUCCCAAGAGAGGGAUAAUGUACCAACUCACAUUUCGGGCUAGAAUAUAAACCGUCAUUCCUAUGCAUAAUAGUUCCAAAAGCCAAUAAAUCCUAUGCAAAUUUAGUGUGUUAAUUAAUUAUGUAGUGUGGGAAUCUAGUUGGGCAUGAAUUGAGAUCAUAGAGGUUUCUUAACUCAAAGGAGAGUUGAAAGCCUUCCUAUCGAUUGAGUUUUAGUGAGCGUCUAAACUUGGGUCAACUUCCAUAGACCAUAACUUUUUGAAUAUAUCGAAUUAGGGGGCCGACUAUAUAUCAAAUGAAAUAUCUUCGAGUCUUAUUUCCAACUCUACCAGUCUCUCCUUAAUCCGAUAUGGGAGUAUAAAGUUAUAUUCAUUUUAAUUCGAAGUAUCUAUCUGCCAAAAUGUGAUGACGAGGCUGACGACCUAUCAACUAGGUGAUGGCCCAUCAACCCUGGUCAUCCGCCUAGGGGAUAAAGUGGUAAAAUCCAUCCCAAAAGUGGCGACCUAGGUGACGGCCUAUCAUAUGAGUGACAGACCAUCAACCUUAGUCAUCAACUGAUGAAGUUCUGCGACUUUUUUGGUUUCUUUAGGGGUAUUUUGAUCUUUUCCUCACUUUAAAAACCUUUCCCAAGAAUUUAAUUACUCUCUAAAUGUUAUUAAUCAAUCAUUAUCAAUUAUACAACAUCAAAAUUAUCUCUUCACUCUCAAAUACAAUAUCAAACUAGGGUUUCCUCCAAUAACAAGAAAUCAAGAAAAAUCAAUUCAUAAGUCCAAGAUUUCAAGGGACAAAUCAAGAUUCGAGUUCUACUCUUUAAAAUAAGUAAUCUAAGGUACGUAGGGUUUUUCUAAACGACAUGGUCAUGAUGAAAUUGUUUCAAUAACAUUUAAACAUUGAGAAAUAAUGAAUUUACAAAAGGAUAUUGAAAUUUCAACUACAACUAUGCAUUUUGAAUCUUUCUUGAUAAUAAAGUUUUGAUCUUUAGGCCUCCCCCCCUUAAACUCGAUUAUUGUUCAUAUAUAUAUGUGUGUGUGUGUGUGUGUGUGUAUGUGUGUGUGUGUGUAUGCAUAUGGUUUGACGUUUGAAACUUGAAUUGAGAGCAUGAAUAUUUAUAAUCUCUCUCUUAUUAUAAAUCCCCUUGUGUUCAGAUGUUAUGAAUUGUUCAAUUUCAUAUUGAGAAAUAUGUACAAACGUGUUUACUAUCAUUAAGACUUGGUUUUGAUUAUGAAUUGAAAAGAGAGGGUUUUACAUUUUGAUAAAUGUUGAAGAGAUAUAAUGAAGGAAUUACAUGGUUUGUUACAAAAUACUUGACCUCCGCAUGUUUGUUGAAAAGAGAGAAUCUCUUCAUAGUUUGAAACUUAUUUUGAAAUAAGAACUCUCUUACAUUGUUAAAUAUUUUUUGUGGUCAACUGAAUCGAUUGGAUCGAAGAAACUAAUCCAUAUUGUUAUAUGGCUUAGACAUACGAUUUGCAAGUCUUGUUAUGACAAUACCAAAACAGAUAAUGCCAUGAUAAUAGAACAGAACAAAAUACAGAAUUUCCUUCAGAUUUUUAGAUUUUGUAGUUUAGAAUGAUGCAUGUUUAGAAAGAAUUAAACGUGGCUUCAAGAGAGUUAGGUGGUUACUUGAAGAAGGCAUGAGCCAUAAAACUCAUUACUCAAAACCGUGUUUUACCGAUACGGGUUAUGAUGUCCCCAAAGAGGGAUUAUAUGCUUGUUUAGUGCCCUGUGGCAUAUUAGAAUUAAAAACUCCAACUCUUGCAACAAACUUGGGUUGGGGGCUUGGCCACCGAGUCAAGGGCGGAUUCCAUAUAGCCCGUGGGAUUGUAGAAUUAUAGGGUGUACCACCUAGCUUAGAAGUAAAACAAAGAAAGGAAAUGCAUCUACAGAAUUGUUUUAAGAUCAUUGAAAUUGCCCAUGUAUUUUAAAGUAUUUCAUGCGUAACAUUUUAUGAAAUGGUCUCACUUGUUUUAUAUGUAUAAGUACAUUAUUUUGGAUUGCUCUGUGUACCAGUACAUCUAUAUUGACCCCCUAUAUUUUAGGAUCUAAGGGUCAGUUCGGGGGUCCUGCUAAGCCGUAGAUUUGUCAGACAGAGGUGUGCAGUUGGUGAGCCUCCCUUAAUUUGGAAGGCCUAUUUUUAGAACAUUGUUAUUUCAUUUUGGUCUUUGGGUCCAACUGAGGGCCUUGUCCCAGAUCUCAGAUAGGUGUUAUUUUUCAGUUAGUAGAGAUUUCGCAGACUGAUGUUGGAUGUUGUUAGAGGG